rnacentral:rRNA from 1 species
AGAGUUUGAUCCUGGCUCAGGACGAACGCUGGCGGCGUGCUUAACACAUGCAAGUCACGGGGGCCCGCAAGGGCAACCGGCGAACGGGUGCGUAACACGUGAGCAACCUGCCUAGAUGUGGGGGAUAGCCGGCCCAACGGCCGGGUAAUACCGCAUACGUUCUUCGGGGGGAGUCCCCUGGAGAGCAAACCUCCGGGGCAUUUAGAGGGGCUCGCGGCCUAUCAGCUAGUUGGCGGGGUAAUGGCCCACCAAGGCUUCGACGGGUAGCUGGUCUGAGAGGAUGGCCAGCCACAUUGGGACUGAGAGACGGCCCAGACUCCUACGGGAGGCAGCAGUGGGGAAUCUUGCGCAAUGGCCGAAAGGCUGACGCAGCGACGCCGCGUGUGGGAGGACGCCCUUCGGGGUGUAAACCACUGUUGCCCGGGACGAACACCCGCUUUCGAGCGGGCUGACGGUACCGGGUGAGGAAGCACCGGCUAACUCCGUGCCAGCAGCCGCGGUAAUACGGAGGGUGCGAGCGUUGUCCGGAAUCACUGGGCGUAAAGGGCGCGUAGGUGGCCCAGGAAGUCGGCGGUGAAAGCCCGGCGCUCAACGCCGGGUCGGCCGUCGAUACUCUUGGGCUCGAGCUCACUAGAGGCAGAUGGAAUUCCGGGUGUAGCGGUGGAAUGCGUAGAGAUCCGGAAGAACACCGGUGGCGAAGGCGGUCUGCUGGGGUGAUGCUGACACUGAUGCGCGACAGCGUGGGGAGCAAACAGGAUUAGAUACCCUGGUAGUCC